CUGCCUUAUCCCUUCUUUAUAAUUGGAAGAGAGUGGGUCUUGUUCUCUUAGGAGGAAGAAGCGGGGUGGGGGUGGGGCAGCUCCUGAGUAAUGAGACCAGUCUUGCUUUGAUUGUUAGUGUGACAAUUUUUCUCUCUGAAAAAUCUGAAGGUAGAGACACAGAAACUGGGAGUUGAGUGCUGAGUCUCUGCUAAUGUCACAUUUGGGAUCCUCACCUACCUUCCUCAGGGUUAGCUGUUCAACUUCUCCUGAAACUCUGGGGGAAAUCCAUGGAACCCCACCUCCCCACUGCCUAUCAACCCUGUUUCUAGUUGUUAGUUAAGAGAACUUGAGCUGUUUUCACAGUUCAUUUAGAGUCCUGUACACCCAUCAAAGCAAUAUCAUGGCCUUUCAUUUCAUUGAUUCUAGAGAUCACCCCUGUUUGCCCAAUUUAAUGAAAUAGUCUGUUUAGUUCUUACAAACUAUGUACCAUACCCUAAAUAGCUCUAUGUCUAAAACUAGUCAAGUUUAUUUAUACCCUUUAUGGAAAAUCCCCUCGAGGGUAGUGAUUUCACGUGUUUUUUUUACUUCUAUAUCCUGAGCACCUCGCGGUAUCGAUAAUGAAGGAACAGCUGUGGAUAAAUGUUUUCUCCCACUUCAUGCACAUGGAGUCAUUCUUUUCAGGAUCACUUCUGGAAAUUACCAAAGAAAGCUUUUCCAUACGAACAAGGGGAUGUGAACCAGGUUACUAAUUUAUCUGAGUCCAGUGUGACAGAACACCCAAUGUGCUUUAGGACGCAUCACUGAACCUCUGUUAAACAUCUGAUGCAAUUGUUGGCUUACGAUGAGGAGCAGAGAUGUGGAGAUGUGGAGGAAUCCUGAACACUGGAGACAUUUGCUGCGGGCAGAUCAUGAGUACGGCGAUCUCACUGGCCGGGUGCCGGUGCCUACGGCUCCUGGCGAGCUCCCCUGAAGAACACAGGCGCUGGAGGGUGAGCAGUCUGCUUGUUUGUUCACUGAGCAGGCACUCUCCCGGCAUCUCCUUUGUGCCACACACUAUUCUCAGUAUUCACUUCUUCCCCCCACUUCAGAACUUUGCUCAAAUACCACCAUUUCAAGGCUGCCCAGCCUGGCCAUCACAUUGAAGAUCUUGGUUCAAAUUGUGCCUUUUCAGUAUCCCUUACUCCACCCUGUGCUGUUUUAUUUCAUAGCAUGUGUUACCUGCUAACUUCCUAGAACGGACUUCUCUGCUACCUUUUGCUGUCUUUUUCUUCCACACCCACCCCAUGCCAAAAUUUGGGCUCCAUGAUGACAGGAAUUUUUUUUUUUUUUAGACAGUCUUACUCUGUCGCCCUGGAUAGAGUGUCGGUGGUAUCAUAGCUCACAGCAACCUCAGACUCUUGGGCUUGAGCAAUCCUCUUGCCUUGGUCUCCUGCGUAGCUGGGACUACAGGUAUUCACAACCAUACCCAGGUAAUUUUUCUAUUUUUAGUAGAGAUGGGGUCUCAAUCAUUCUUCCUCAGGCUGGUUUUGAACUCCUGACCUCAAGGGAUCCUCCUGCCUCAGGCUCCCAGAGUGCUAGGAUUGCAGGUGUGAACCACUGUGCUCAGCCAAUGGCAGGAAUCUUAAUUUGCUCUGUUCGCUGAUGCAGGGCCUGGCUCAUAAAACUGAACAGCUAGAGAAUAAACUGAUGA